CCCUCUUCUCCCUCCUCCCCCUGCUCCUCCUGCUGCUGCUCUCAGUGCCGCUCUCGCCUCGCUCGCACACGGACGCUCGGGGGCCGGAGCGGGGACGCGCAGGGCCGGAGCAGGAGCGGGGAGCCCCCGGGGCGGCUCGGUCGAAUGGCAUCUGCCAGUGAAGCCAGCAAUGACCUCUAACACUUUCCACAAGCGCAUCCCAGACCAGCACCCGGUGUUAGACACAAACCUCCUCCAGGUGAAGGGUUUCCUGCAACACAGCACAAAAAAGGUGGCUUGCAACAGCAGAAGUGCCCUUAUCAGCUGGUGACAGGCUCCUGAGCACCAGGGGACUGCACUGCUGGGUUGGCAGGAAUCACAGAAAACUCAGGGAGCCCUCAGAGGCCGGGCUGUGUGCAAGGAUGGAGGUGUCACAAGAUGGCAUCACUUAAUGGAGAUAUGUCACACCCGUAACCGUAAACCUGCUGUGUUUCCAUCUCUCCUGUAUAUCUGUGGAUGAAAACUGAUGCACUAUUAGUACUCUUGAAGACUGAGAGAAGCCAUCAAAGACUGUCACAGACUUCUUGUCCUUCUCCAGGAUUCCCACCACUCUUCCCCCACCACAAAACUCCACAGACUGACGAGGUCAAGGCUAUUUGAGAUCCGAUUGGUCAGGAGGGUGUAGCUUACACAUCAAUUGUCUCCUGCAGGCUGAGAGUUUAUCCCAGCAGCAACUAUUGUUGAGCAGCUGCGAGAUUUACACCACAUUUCCAAAAAUAUUAUUUCUCAGUGUGAUCUCUGUCUGAAUUCAGAAGAAAAAUAUUUAAUGGUUGACAAAACAUUGGUAAAUAAAAGCAGAUCAAAAUGA